UACGUAGGGUGCGAGCGUUGUCCGGAAUUACUGGGCGUAAAGAGCUCGUAGGUGGUUUGUCGCGUUGUUCGUGAAAACUCACAGCUUAACUGUGGGCGUGCGGGCGAUACGGGCAGACUGGAGUACUGCAGGGGAGACUGGAAGUUCCUGGUGUAGCGGUGGAAUGCGCAGAUAUCGAGGAAGAACACCCGUGGCGAAGGCGGCUCCUCUGGGACGGUACUGACGCUGAGACGCGAAAGCGUGGGGAGCGAACAGG
rnacentral:rRNA from 1 species